GAAGCUGAAGCUCUUCAUGUGAUAUUUUGGUCUAGAAGGAGAGUCUUACAUGGUUAGAUAAGUGACUUCUUUUUGGAAAUUCAUCUUUCAAAAUGUAUCCACUAGACAUAACUGUUUUACGAGGCUUUGGAAUGUAUCAAUAGAUAACACCGUGACCCUCUGGGAGCGAGCAAGCCAAACCCUUUCCUUUGGGAAGUCUCCAUCCAGUGUGCUCCUGAGAUUUCUGGAGAGUUUCAGCCAGAAGAGAAAAUUCCAACUUUACUUUCAAAAUGGCUCAGAAGGAAUGGAGGACACCUAAGAGGCCAAAUUAAAGUAAACACUAUUCCAAGCACUAGAAAUUCAAGACUGAACAAGAGACAAAGAUUCUGCCUUCUUGGAACCAACAUUCCAGAUGGGAGGAAAGACAAUAAACAAAAUAAAUACGUAGAACUGAUAGUAUGUUGGUGAUAAGUACAAAGGAGGCUAAACAGAGCAAAAAAAGCAUAGGAAGUGAUGAUGGUGGUGGUGGUUAAAAUUUUAAGUAGGAU